CAAUGAUGGACUGUAGAGCAGAGUUGAUGGAACCAGGAGAACCAGAGACCAAAAAGUGAUUUUUCAUUAGUGGUAAUAUUUUUGGAGUUUUGCUCUCUAGUGGGUUUUUAUUGGGUGGAAAUGAUAAAUGCUAUACAGCAGAGUAAGGAAACAUUUAAUGCUCGCUAAUAUUAGAAGAAUUUGUUUUGUUUUAUUUUUAAAAGGGUCAACAAUAACAAAAACCCCUUAACUAUGCCUGCCUCCCCUGUCGCAUAAAAGUAAUGUUACAAAAUAAGCAAUACAAAGGAUACAGAUAGAACUGUGGGACGAGACCACAAAUUAUCUUAAUUUUAUUUUUUCUUUGAAAGUUCACAUUAUUCGCUCCAGAGUUAGAACGGAGCUUCUCCCAUGCCUGCACACAGAACAGGCAAUCUAAAGUGAGCAUCUGACAGUUCACAAGCCGCGCACUGUGGAAAUAUCCGACAGUCACAGACACUUCCCAAUAUACAUGGAAAACACAAGGACUGACUAAUUAUUAGCGCCGUGUACCAAAUGAAGGAAUAAAACCAAAAACAGAAAUGAAUCACAUAAAGAAAAAUACCAGUCACACAAGCUUCUUUCGAGACACAAAUCAUAGGAAAUAUUUUGCACACAACACUAAAACAAUGCAUUUUUCUGUCCUACAUGAAGAGAAAAUACAACUUACAUUGCUGUAAAUACAAUUUCCCCAUAUUUACAAGAUCCAACUCCACAAAAUGCAUUUAUAGAUUAACAGGUCCCUGUUAAGUUCCGAGGUACUUACUAGUUUAGCGCUCUGCUCUGAGAAUAGACAGUGCUGCCCGUAAGUGUGUUUCAUUGAUACUGGAGCCAGUCUGCGCAGACAGAGCAGCGUAACUAUGUUAGGGGAAGGAGAGAUUGUUCUGUAAGCAUACUCAAUUCCUGGCAAGGGGCCACGGCACUCAGGAGGAAAAAUGGAUUUCUGUAGAUAUAAAUGGCUGAAAUCAUAAACUAAUAUGUUUUCUUCCAUUUGCAGACGUCACUGGGAUUAUGAUCCGACAGAACAGAGAAGGAGAGGGGAGCCGCUGCCUAACCAAGGGUCAGGAGGAGAUGUAGUACCCAGCCUGCUGCUGGGAAAGUUCAAAACAAACGAAAUAAAAAAGAAGAUUGUGUAUAUAAAGCCAUGGAAUGAAAAAAAAUAUACAAUAGCAAAUUACAAAGAUUUGAUUAACCCCUUAAGGACACAUGACAUGUCAGGAUUCCCUUUUAUUCCAGAAGUUUGAGAGAGAAAUCACCAACACACAUACAAUGAGUGGUUUUUAUAAUUACACAAUUAGGCAUAAAAGCAAAGCCAACCAACUGGUGUGUAUAAGGUAAACUUACACCAGGGCUCUGACUCCAUACAGGACAGUGAAAUGAACGAGACGUGGAUCUCGAUUCACCCCUGUUCCCAGUUCCCAUGUUUUUAGAGCGCGUUACCUGGUGGGGAUAGGCUAUGAGAUGCAGUGGAAUAGAAUUAAGACAUUACCCAUUAUGGAAAUCCCAUCCGCUCUCCUAAAAUAAAAGAAUGUGACAGCCGGCAAGACGACAGGAGCAAACAUGAAAACCACGGAAAUGGAACCAAAAUGCUGCCACUUACUGACCAUUUGGUGCAGUAAUUGUGUUUUGAUGCCCCACCCCUAAAAUAUUCUCCAGAACAGGCUUUGGGGCAGAUUUAUCAAAGUGUCUUGCCCUGACAAACUGUGCAAAGUACUAUAUGUACAUGGCGGUUACCAUGGAAACCAGCAGGAACAUUGCAGCGUUAACGCCUCCCCUUUUACAAUUCUGCGCCACUUUUCAGAACAGAAUACUUUGCUAAAUCUCCCCAUUGUUUACUGGGUAUGAACGGUCACAAAAAGGGUGACAUGUUCUCUUUAAAUUGGUCCUGGGUGAGAAGUAUAGCACAUGAUAAAAGUAGAGGGCCACAGACAGACACAGGGAAGGAUUUCCUGGGAUGAGAAAACCAGGCUUAAUGUAGGGAGAUAGCGCCUUUUCCGAAAUAAUUCCUUCACCCACAGAAUUCGUUCAUCCUUCCUGUUUCCUUUAAAAAGACUACAGUCAAAAUCUCGCCUCCUAAAAUCUAUCACAAUAUUCACACACAUAAACCUAGACUCCGGCCACAGCCAUCCAGAUACGUAAACCUAGACUCCGACCACAGCUGGAUAACAACCCACAAGAG
rnacentral:lncRNA from 1 species